rnacentral:rRNA from 1 species
AGUGAACGCUGGCGGCAGGCCUAACACAUGCAAGUCGAACGGCAGCACAGCAGUAGCAAUACUGUGGGUGGCGAGUGGCGGACGGGUGAGGAAUACAUCGGAAUCUACCUUGUCGUGGGGGAUAACGUAGGGAAACUUACGCUAAUACCGCAUACGAACUAUGGUUGAAAGCGGCGGACCGCAAGGCGUCGCGCGAUUGGAUGAGCCGAUGUCCGAUUAGCUAGUUGGCGGGGUAAAGGCCCACCAAGGCGACGAUCGGUAGCUGGUCUGAGAGGAUGAUCAGCCACACUGGAACUGAGACACGGUCCAGACUCCUACGGAAGGCAGCAGUGGGGAAUAUUGGACAAUGGGCGCAAGCCUGAUCCAGCCAUGCCGCGUGUGUGAAGAAGGCCUUCGGGUUG